UACGGAGGGUGCGAGCGUUGCCCGGAAUCACUGGGCGUAAAGGGCGCGUAGGCGGCGCGGGGAGUCAACGGUGAAAGCUCGGCGCUCAACGCCGAGUCGGCCGUCGAUACUCCCGUGCUUGAGCACUGUAGAGGCAGGUGGAAUUCCGGGUGUAGCGGUGGAAUGCGUAGAGAUCCGGAAGAACACCGGUGGCGAAGGCGGCCUGCUGGGCAGUAGCUGACGCUGAGGCGCGACAGCGUGGGGAGCAAACAGG
rnacentral:rRNA from 1 species